rnacentral:misc_RNA from 1 species
GAAAUGCGAUAAGUAAUGUGAAUUGUAGAAUUCAGUGAAUCAUCGAAUCUUUGAACGCACAUUGCGCCCGCCAGUAUUCUGGCGGGCAUGCCUGUUCGAGCGUCAUUUCCACCAUCAGGCCCCCGGGCCUGUGUUGGGGACCUGCGGCUGCCCGCAGGCCCCGAAAUUCAGUGGCGGUCGCGCCGUAGCAACCGAGCGUAGUAACUAAAACGUCUCGCUCUGGCUCGCUGGGCGCGCUCCGGCCGUAAAACACCCCCCCUUUUCGCAAAGGUUGACCUCGGAUCAGGUAGGAAUACCCGCUGAACUUAAGC